GGCCUGUUGAUUAUAAUUUAAGGUCUGACCUGCCCACUGAGUAUUUAAAUGGCCGCGGUAUUUUGACCGUGCAAAGGUAGCAUAAUCACUAGUUUUUUAAUUGAAAGCUUGAAUGAAAGGUUUGAUGAGGAAAAUUCUGUCUCUAUAAAAUUUUAUUAGAAUUUUAUUUUUAAGUUAAAAAGCUUAAAUUUGAAUUGAAGACGAGAAGACCCUAUAGAGUUUUAUAUUUAGGUAAAAUUAUUGAGUUUAAGGAAUUAAAAAUUUUGAUUGUAUCUAUAUAUUUUGUUGGGGUGAUUAAAAAAUUGGUUAAACUUUUUUUAUAUAGAAACAUUAAUUUGUGAAUAAGUGAUCCUAAAGUUUAGAUUAAAAGAUUAAAUUACCUUAGGGAUAACAGCGUAAUUUUUUUUAGAGUUCUUAUCAAAAGAAAAGAUUGCGACCUCGAUGUUGGAUUAAAAUUAAUUAUUGGUGUAGAAGCUAGUAUAUUAGGUCUGUUCGACCUUUAAAAUUUUACAUGAUCUGAGUUUAGACCGGCGUGAG
rnacentral:rRNA from 1 species